UACGUAGGGUGCAAGCGUUGUCCGGAAUUAUUGGGCGUAAAGAGCUCGUAGGCGGUUUGUCGCGUCGAAUGUGAAAACCCGGGGCUCAACCCCGGGCCUGCAUUCGAUACGGGCAGACUAGAGUUCGGUAGGGGAGUCUGGAAUUCCUGGUGUAGCGGUGAAAUGCGGCAGAUAUCAGGAGGAACACCGGUGGCGAAGGCGGACUCUGGGCCGAGUGACU
rnacentral:rRNA from 1 species